AUGCAGGAAAGUGAAGCAAGUGCUCGUACCUGGACGGAGCGGCGCUUGGCGUGGUCCUGGUGGCGCUGGUCGAGGUCGGGCACGUGGCGGAAGCGGCGGCGCCGGUUCUUGACGACGAGGCUCCCGACGGCGGAGCGCCACCGCCGCUGCGCCUCCUCGGAGGGGUUCUUGGCCGGCAGGUCGAAGUUGUCCAGCAGGUACUGCUCCAUGGCCGCACGGCUGCACUCACUCGGCCGGAGCGGAGGGUUGGGGAUGGGGCGGGUGUUCGUGAGCACCACCACUUGCCCCUGCCUCCGCCGCGAUGGGUUCGAGGUGCAGGUACUACUAAUACUAGUAAAGAAAAAACAAGGGAGGAAAUGGCAAGUUGCCGCCCUUGCCCUUGUUUAUUCACACUGGGAUCGCAGAUUCAGGGAGGAAGGCAAGGAAGGGGGUGCUGUUUGGGUUGAAGAUUUGAAAAACCCUGACCUGCGGGUCGCUAUUUCUAUUUCUAUGGAGAAAAUGGAGGGACGAACAUGGGGGCGGCGAUCGCCUCGCCGCCUUUAUAUCUUUCCUUAUUACUUCGGCCUCUUCUGUUACUUUCUCCCCUUUUUGAAAGCCAAGGCGUUUGGGUCCCCAUCGCCCAUUUGUACGGCAGAUUGUUGGUCCCACUUGUGUGGCCACGCCGAAUCAAACCCGGGUGACCCACUGGUGGUUCAAGUUCUCUUCACAAAUAUAUGGUUGGCUCCCGCUGCAGGGAGGAAAAAUCAGUUGCCUCCCAAACCGUCGGAUGUGAUGGAUGUUAUUACUUAUCCGCAUCUUGUUGCAGAGCAUCACCCCUCGCAUAACACAAUGAUGUUUGUCUCAUCUCGCCGCUCGCAACAUCCCUCGCAUCACCUGGUCGUCCAGCUCACAACAUUCGUCACCAUCUCGCGGCACCGCCGCCCUCAUUGCAUCAUCAUUUUGGUCUCCGCUCGCAAUAGUCGCACAAGCAUCGCGGCAAGCCACCGCCGCUCGCGGCACUAUCGGCCACCGUAA
rnacentral:rRNA from 1 species